rnacentral:rRNA from 1 species
GUGGGGAAUAUUGCACAAUGGGGGAAACCCUGAUGCAGCGACGCCGCGUGAGCGAUGAAGUAUUUCGGUAUGUAAAGCUCUAUCAGCAGGGAAGAAAAUGACGGUACCUGACUAAGAAGCACCGGCUAAAUACGUGCCAGCAGCCGCGGUAAUACGUAUGGUGCAAGCGUUAUCCGGAUUUACUGGGUGUAAAGGGAGCGUAGACGGAGAGGCAAGUCUGAUGUGAAAACCCGGGGCUCAACCCCGGGACUGCAUUGGAAACUGUUUUUCUAGAGUGUCGGAGAGGUAAGUGGAAUUCCUAGUGUAGCGGUGAAAUGCGUAGAUAUUAGGAGGAACACCAGUGGCGAAGGCGGCUUACUGGACGAUGACUGACGUUGAGGCUCGAAAGCGUGGGGAGCAAACAGGAUUAGAUACCCUAGUAGUCC